rnacentral:rRNA from 1 species
UGGGGAAUAUUGGACAAUGGGCGAAAGCCUGAUCCAGCCAUGCCGCGUGUGUGAAGAAGGUCUUCGGAUUGUAAAGCACUUUAAGUUGGGAGGAAGGGCAGUAAGCGAAUACCUUGCUGUUUUGACGUUACCGACAGAAUAAGCACCGGCUAACUCUGUGCCAGCAGCCGCGGUAAUACAGAGGGUGCAAGCGUUAAUCGGAAUUACUGGGCGUAAAGCGCGCGUAGGUGGUUCGUUAAGUUGAAUGUGAAAGCCCCGGGCUCAACCUGGGAACUGCAUCCAAAACUGGCGAGCUAGAGUAGGGCAGAGGGUGGUGGAAUUUCCUGUGUAGCGGUGAAAUGCGUAGAUAUAGGAAGGAACACCAGCGGCGAAGGCGACCACCUGGGCUCAUACUGACACUGAGGUGCGAAAGCGUAGGGAGCAAACAGG